ACUCAUUCUCUCCUCUUUCGCUCAAACGCGACGGCGUCGAUCAAUCCUUCUCCUCCGAUUAAAUAGAAUCCAAACGCCACCGUGAACCUUCUGAUCACCGUCACAACCUCCUCUUCUAAUUCUUAAUCCUAAUUUCUCCGUUCAAAAUUCAAUGAAUCCCUAAUCGCAGCAUUUAGAAGAACCCUAGAGAUUAAGCGUCUCAAACUCCUAAUUUCCACAUCACAUGAUUCGGCGCACGCAGAAUGAUGGAGAUUUGGAGACAUACCUGAAAUGACGAUCGAUUGCUGAGAGUGGAGAAAACCGGAGAAAAGAUUUCGAGCGAUGGGAUGCCAAAACAGAGAUGAGCGCGAGCAAAUGGAAGAAAAUCCAGAUAAUGAAGGUUGAAAGCUGCGUGUGAAUGAUGAAGAUGAUGAAGAAAUCGUGAAGCGAAUUGUGGAGUUCAGAGAUGAUGAUGGUGAAUGAAUCGGGGAGAUUAUCUGAGGUUUAGCUCAACUACUUAGUGCUUCAGAGGUUGAAGCUCCCAGAGUCAUGGUGGAGAGCGUGUAGUAUAGGUUGAGAGGGUGAUGAAGGUGGUGAAGUGAGGCAGUGAAGUGGUGAUGAAAAUGGUCGAGAGGAUGGUUAUGGAAGUGAAGGGAAAAUGGAGGAGAGGAUGAAGGUGAAAUACUGAGUGAAGAUGAAGAUGAAUGUGUAUGGAGAAGAUUGAAAAUGGUGGAGAGAGUGGAAGAAUGAUGAGCGUGAACUUGGAAAAAUGGUGGAGGGGCUUGAAUGAAGGUGGAGCAGAGUAUAUAUAGGUUUGUGAAUGAAGCUUUUUCUUUGUGCAGUAAUACAGGGCUGAGUUGGCUUGACAUUUGUUUGGUGAAGCAAAUCAAUAGCAAGAUUUUGGCAUUGGUGACAUGGGACUGUUUGUGUGUGUAAAGGCUGCUGGUUUUGGAUGUGUUAUAUAAGGCGCAGUAUACUCAAGGCCGAAGUGAAGUUCAGAAGAGUGGCAUGGAGAUGUACUGGAUGUUUAUUACUGGCUGCAUGAUACAGGCGGUGGGGGUCUCAAAGAUGAAGAGAAAACGAAGACUAACAUAGAGAAUAGAUUUAGGACAAUUUUGUAAUGCUUAUCUCUAUGUAAAUGGAUAGAUUUGUUGUUAUAAUUUUGUAGUGAAUUGGAUAUUUGGAUGAAUAGGAUUUUGUAAUGAGUUUGAAAUUGUAAAAUGUAAUGUGAUGGAUUUGAGAUAAAUAAAGUGUACUUUGUGACUUUCAAUAGAGUAUGUGAUGUAGCUUUUGGUCUUUGUAAUGUAUCCUUGAAUUUUGUAAUUGAAUUUUGUAAUGAGACUUUAAAUAAAUCAUUCUUGAAAUAGAAGCCCCAAUUUUUAGAUCCUUGAUCCUAAUGUCAGGUUUAUUUACUAAUGAUGCAUGGUGAGUUAGAUGACCUAAUGAAUGAAAUUAUGAGACGCAUAAGCCAAUUAUAACUAAAAUCAG